UACGGAGGGGCUAGGCGUUGUUCGGAAUUACUAGGGCCGUGAAAGCGCAACGUAGGCGGCUUGUAAGUUAGAGGUGAAAGCCCAGGGCUUAACCCUGGAAUUGCCUUUAAGACUGCAUCGCUAGAAUCGUGGAGAGGUGAGUGGAAUUCCGAGUGUAGAGGUGAAAUUCGUAGAUAUCGGGAGGAACACCAGUGGCGAAGGCGGCGACCUGGGCCAAUAUUGACGGCUGAGGUGCGAAAGCGUGGGGAGCAAACAGG
rnacentral:rRNA from 1 species